UACGUAGGGUGCAAGCGUUGCCCGGAAUUACUGGGCGUAAAGGGCUCGUAGGCGGCCAACUAAGUCAGACGUGAAAUCCCUCAGCUUAACUGGGGAACUGCGUCUGAUACUGGAUGGCUUGGAUCCGGGAGAGGGAUGCGGAAUUCCAGGUGUAGCGGUGAAAUGCGUAGAUAUCUGGAGGAACACCGGUGGCGAAGGCGGCAUCCUGGACCGGUAUUGACGCUGAGGCGCGAAAGCCAGGGGAGCAAACGGG
rnacentral:rRNA from 1 species